rnacentral:rRNA from 1 species
GUCCACGCCCUAACGAUGGGCACUAAGUGUCGGAGGUAUUGAGCCCUCCGGUGCCGCAGCUAACGCAUUAAGUGCCCCGCCUGGGGAGUACGGCCGCAAGGUUGAAACUCAAAGGAAUUGACGGGGCCCGCACAAGCGGUGGAGCAUGUGGUUCAAUUCGACGCAACGCGAAGAACCUUACCUGGGCUUGACAUGCUGGUAGUAGAAACCCGAAAGGGCGACGAGCCCCGCAAGGGGAAGCCAGCACAGGUGCUGCAUGGCUGUCGU